UCUUUUUUUUUUUUUUGUUUAACCAGGUGGUGAGUUCGGGUCUUCGGCCCUACUCCCUCCCCCUAGGCCCGGAGCCAGUCUGCGUCUGUACCGGUUAAGGCCCUGGACACUCCUCCCACGGUGGAUCGAACCCAGGAGCGCAACAACACCAACGCCUGCGCUUAAACCAACUGGGCUGCCACAUCCGUGGUUAUCUCUCUCUAAUAUCUCUAAAUUCUCCCUCUCUCCUCUGAAGAUCCUCAAGCGAGUACUUCUCUUCUCCCCUAAAAUCAUGUCUGGACGUGCGACGAACCUCCAACUUUUCUGUAGUUCGGUUUCCUCGUAGAAUCACCAUUAUUCUCCUUCAGCCGAUCGGGAAGUGCCAGUAAUUAUGGCUGUCGAAUAGUUGGUUCAACAACUGGGCCGAGAACAUAUACCUCAACUCCUUCCUCAUAAGAUCUCAAAGACUAUGUGGUUCGAUAAGUCUAUCAAUGGGAUUAGCAAAAAUUAGGCCUGGACGUUCGGGUAUCCGUUGGCAUUCGGAUCGGGUUUUUUGGAUUUUCG